AGUGAACGCUGGCGGUAGGCCUAACACAUGCAAGUCGAACGGCAGCACAGUAAGAGCUUGCUCUUACGGGUGGCGAGUGGCGGACGGGUGAGGAAUACAUCGGAAUCUACUUUUUCGUGGGUGAUAACGUAGGGAAACUUACGCUAAUACCGCAUACGACCUACGGGGGAAAGCAUGGGAUCUUCGGACCUUGCGCGAUUGAAUGAGCCGAUGUCGGAUUAGCUAGUUGGCGGGGUAAAGGCCCACCAAGGCGACGAUCCGUAGCUGGUCUGAGAGGAUGAUCAGCCACACUGGAACUGAGACACGGUCCAGACUCCUACGGGAGGCAGCAGUGGGGAAUAUUGGACAAUGGGCGAAAGCCUGAUCCAGCCAUACCGCGUGGGUGAAGAAGGCCUUCGGGUUGUAAAGCACUUUUGUUGGGAAAGAAAAGCAGCAGGUUAAUACCCCGCUGUUCUGACGGUACCAAAAGAAUAAGCACCGGCUAACUUCGUG
rnacentral:rRNA from 1 species